rnacentral:rRNA from 1 species
UACGGAGGGUGCAAGCGUUGUCCGGAUUUAUUGGGUUUAAAGGGUGCGUAGGCGGCUUUUUAAGUCAGUGGUGAAAUCCAGCAGCUUAACUGUUGAAUUGCCAUUGAUACUGGAGAGCUUGAAUACAGACGAGGUAGGCGGAAUUUAUGGUGUAGCGGUGAAAUGCAUAGAUACCAGAAAGAACACCGAUUGCGAAGGCAGCUUACUAGGCUGUAACUGACGUUGAGGCACGAAAGUGUGGGGAUCAAACAGG